GUGUUCUCCUGCGCGUAUACUUCCUGUUUCUAUUUUAAGAAAAUUUAGGAAGAGAGUGUAAACAUUAGACUAGAUUGGAAGACAGAGAUCUGCGUUUUAACACAAACAAAACUUGAGGGCCUUGCAGAUUUAUAGAUCCUGCUAACACUCCUCCGGGUUGAAGCCGAUGAAUGUGUGAUGGCCAAUACUGACAAGGCUAUUGAAAGGGAACCACUGCAGUUGAACCAAGAAUCGCCAGCCCAAACCAAACCAAACCAGGAGGACCAUGAACAGUUGGAGCUCUCCCUCCUGAUAGAGAAUAAAGCCGCCCAGAACGAUAACACCAAUGUUCUGCAAAGCUUUGCAAUCGACGAUGCAUACCGCAACACUGCAGAAAAUCCCUACAGAGAAACCACGAUGACGGUCCCUCAUCUUGUAAAGAAAGUCCCGGAAGAGGACCUGACCCCACGACCUUGGAAGACCUUCAACCAGAUUUUAUGUUUCUCGUACCUCAGUGUGGUCUUCUGUAUAGGCCUAGGUGUUUAUGCGAACAGAGAAGCUUGGAAAGCCAAGCUGUUAAAUGGGAAAGGCUUGUAUGGUUUGGCUCAACAACGGGCCAGACGAGCAGUGAUAGUUAGUUACACUGCUAUUGUCGUGGGAAUUCUAUUGAUUGUGUUUAUCAGUCUCGCGGCGACGGAGACUAUUUAAGAAGAAUCGACAAUGUGGAUAGAUACGCAGGUUGCAUUGGCUAUUAGAUUUACUGUUGUUAAUGAAUGCUCCUAUUAAAGGAUUUCCAUUGUCAUUCACUCUUAAGGUGUCUGGUAUAUAAUGCAUGUACUACUACUAGAGAUGUUUUUCCAUUUUUAUUUUUACAUUUCUUGUUAAUCUUUAUAACGAGACUCAUUUCAGUCAUGUUGAUACAAAUUCCAUUGCUGGUUUAUUUCAAUUUGAUGAAAGUCAUUUUGUGCGACUUAUCUACCUGUAAUAAAAAUUUGAGAAAUAAUAUUUUUCAUCACAUUUUGCCCAGUGACCCAUAGUUUACUUUAUAGAAUAUGAAUUAAGCAAUUGUUGUUGCACAUUAAUUUUCACCAAAUGCUUUCCGACGAAAUUGUCCUUUCAAUUUAUUAACCAAAAUCAUGUAUUUCCCUUGGGGUUUUAAGUUAAAUUGAAUAGGCAGUAAUUUUAAAUUAUAGUGUUAAAUCUAGGAUCUAGAGAGGGCACACAUAUCAUAUGUUCAAAAAGGGCACUGUUCGUUGUGGUAAGACAAUUUCGGGGCACUUUCACUGUAUCAUACUAUGAUAGUAAUAGAAUAAUCAUUUCGCCUCUUUAAAAGUUAAUACCUGCUGCCUUGAUUUUAAACUUUUCAAUCAACCUUGUGAAAUAAAGAAAAAUUGUAUAUAUUAACAAAUAUUUUUAAAAAAUUUAUAGAGAAAAAAGGGCAUGGUGCAAUUAAAAAGGGCAUGGUGCAGUGCCAUGCUAGUUUACUUGCUUUAGAUUCAGCACUAAAUUAGUAAAUUAUAUCUCAGAUUCAGCCUGUGUAUAGGGGAUCAUUUUCUAUGUUGAUGCCCAGUAAUCUAAUGUAAAACUAGUUUUUGAUAAUCCUCUGUUUAGUUUUUCCAUGUGGAUCAGAUGUGGAUGUAAAUACCUUAACAAAUUGAAGAAAUAAUUUGGUAUGCCUUGUAUAUAUGUUUAAUUUAUGGUAUAAUCUCUCCAGUGCAUUUCUUACUUUUUUAGAUAGUUGAUAAUUUUGUAGAAUGUAUUUUCAGAUCUUGCAGGUUUUAUUUAAAAGUACAUGUAUGUGCAUACAAGACAAUUAUAAAAAGUGUAUGUGUAAAUUAAUUUUUUAAUUGUUUAAUACAAAAAGGAUGAAUGUACAUUUCAUCCUACACAUUGAACUGCAUCUCUGUAAUUAAGCUGCUUCAUUAAGACACUCAGGUUCGGUAUUAAACAGAGGACACAAAUUAAUUAUUACAUGUACAGUACACUUUUGGCUGUAUAAAGUUCAGCAUCACACCCUGCAUGGAAACAUGUAAGUGUACAUUUUCAUGGAAGUAUUCUACGUACUCAUGUCCGAGUCUCAUUAUCCCUUUUUUUUAUUUGGUGCCAUAGAAAGUUAUAUACAGUGAUGAAAUUCAAUGCCCACGACUUGCCACGAGUUUUCCUUUACAAUGUUUUUUUUCCCCCCGACACAAUUACUUUGAUAUGGACAAAUACUUUACAGUUUGGGUACAAUCACUUGUAGUUAUUGCGCCUCACAGAGGUGUAUAAUGUAUUUUUACUGAUAGUCUAAAGUCAGAUGUUGUACAAUAAGUUGUUAUUGUUUAUCAUGAAAUGUAUUAAUUAACAUCCCACUUCCUUCCCCGAGUAAAAUACAGAGUUACCUACCCUGUAUGAUGUAUAUUUUUGUUACGUAAGCAUUCUGAAAUAAAAUAACUUUUUGAAUUAAAAAAACCCCACUGACUCUACAAGAUUCCGACAAGGACUGAUCCUACAAAUAUACAUGUACACUGUUUACUUCAGGGUCUAGUGAUACUAAGUUAAUUUUAUCAGUGUUGAUGAAUUCUAAACUGUUUUUAUAUUCUUAACUGUAGAAAAAAAUAUCAAGUGAUGUAUCAAAAGAUUUUAUGCUCCAGGUUUUAAAUUACCAUAGAAAAAAAACCCCAGUCAUAAUAUUUUGUAUCAAACAUGCACCAUUCACAUUUUACCAUUAUUUAUACUUCUAAAAAAUGUUGAUGAAAACAUGUUUUGUAAAUCAAAUGUUGUAUUUCAUGUACUUAAAAUACCUUGGGUUGUAUAUUCACUUUAUCAUCAUCAUACAUUGUUAGUUAACUCAUUCCCAUAAAACAUGAGGAGUACCAAAAACACACAUUGUUUUAUGAGCUGGGAUGUCUAGGUAGUUUAGAGGUUAAACCUAUUUCCCUUUCACUGUUGCAGCCCGAGUUAGAUCCCCAUCAUCAUCAGUGUUUGUAUGUGAGCUCAGUUUUUGUGGUCACCCAUGUGGGUUUCCUCCGGGCACUUCCAUCUUCCUCCUACACCAAGGACCUCUUCUUCUCACUAAUAUCCGAGCCGACGAGGGGCAUUAGAACUUAAUCAUUGUUAAUAAAAGUCGGAAAUUAUAAUAAGCUCAUAAAAUACUAAUAUGUAUAUAAGAGCACCCAUUACAUUGAAAAAUAGAUUUAAAAAUCUUGUGCAAAUCUUGAGGCACAUAUUCCUCUGCUUGUUCACAAAUGCCUACACAAAAUUAUUUUACUCUCUAGUCAUCUUUUAGAAAGUUUGGUCAUGACUGUGACCAAAUCAUACGCUGAAUUUUCACAGUCCUAAUUAUAUAAUCAAAUAAUCUAUUUUAGUCUUUCACAUUUGGCAAAGGUGCUUUUGUUUGAAAUACAUUUUGCUUUUAGCCUAUAGGCUUGCAUAAUUUCUUAUUGUGUUCCAAGAAUUUUUUAUCACUUGUAAUUAAAUUGUGUGGUUAUAAAACUGAUAUAUUUUAUUUGUAUAUGAGAUUUCCUUUAUUUUAUUUUUAUGCACUUUAAGUCCAUUAAUCUAUCUGACGUGUAUAGAUUUAUGUAUGUUUCGGACAUUCAAAUCCAUUAUGAUUGGUUUUUUUAUUAUUUAAAUAUUUUAGAUUUCACGUACUCUUGAAGAAGAGGUAUAUUAUAUACAGGGAAAUUUGAAAUAUUUGCCCCCCAUUUUAUUUUUGCCCUAAUUGUCAGUGGGCUAAUUUAAGACAGAACAAAACCAUUUUCUCUUACAUACAUGUAUAUAGCAACUACUAUGUCGGGAUGACUUUUAAAAUGGGUGAAACCGUCUGCGAGUGUAGAGAGAAAAAAAUAACAUGGGUGAAAAAUUACCUUGUAUAAAAUAAUAUAUUCGUUUUUCUCCAACCAGGCAUUGAAGUCUCUAAAACUGCCAUUUGUUUAUUAAUUGGAAAAGCUAGGUGCUCUCUGUAUACAUGUCAAAUUUAGCCAUCUCUUUUCUGGUAGCACCUUUGAGAAGCUGUACAUGGUAGCUGUUUAUUGUUAUUGUGCUGUAGUUCUGAGAUAAUCUUGUUUAUAGCAUCUCAGAGAUCAUUCAUUAUUUAAUGAACAGGAUCAGGAGACAAUCAUUGAAUAUUCGUCCCAUUUUCAAACUGCAUGUGCUGGAGACUAACUGCCAUGGUUAACAUUUCCCCUUGGCAGCCUUUACUGUUAGGGAGGUUAAGGAGGUACUCUAGAUCGUUAUAAUGGCUGACUUCCUUUUAAAACAUGGUGGAAUAUAUAAAUAUCAGCAAUAUUUGUCUAGUCAUUUAAAAAAUUCUCACCUAGCUGAGUAGCUCAGAAGUGCAGAACUGUAGAUCACGUGUUCGAGUCCAGCAGGGGUUUUAAUUUUUUCUCAGAUUGCUUUCAACUAAAACUGUAUUUUUUGACCAAAUAAUGUAAAUUUGAAAGUUUUCAGUCUCAAAAUAUUGUACAUAUCCUCCACUUUUCAUCCAUGGAUAUCAAAUCUCUCUGGUGUAGCAUACCUCCUUAAAUAAAUUAAUGCUUGUAUGUUUCUAAAGUGCAAUUUUACAUUUUCAUGUUCAGAUAUUUCCAUUUAUGAAUAUGUGUGUAUUGAUGUUAAUGCUGUUAUAAUAAUGUUGUAUACCAUAUUGCCUAAUAGUAAUAAUAUUACUACAUUAAAAAUAUUUUAUCAA